rnacentral:tRNA from 1 species
GGAUUGUGGCUCAGUGGUAGAGCGCUUGCCUAGCACGUGUGAGGCACUGGGUUUGAUCCUCAGCACCA